AUGACAACAGUAGAAAGUGAAGCCCUCUGUUUAUCUGCAGAAUUGGUUCAGAGGAGCAUUGGCAACGCAAGUUUCUCUUCAUCACCCCAAUCUGCGUGCUGCAGCUGUAACCUUGAGGGAUCACCUUUAGGAAGGAGAAGAUGACUUGGUCUUCCUACUCUUUCCAUCCUUAGCCCCU
rnacentral:sRNA from 1 species